rnacentral:rRNA from 1 species
GAUGAACGCUGGCGGCGUGCCUAGUACAUGCAAGUCGAGCGAACAGACGAGGAGCUUGCUCCUCUGACGUUAGCGGCGGACGGGUGAGUAACACGUGGAUAACCUACCUAUAAGACUGGGAUAACUUCGGGAAACCGGAGCUAAUACCGGAUAAUAUAUUGAACCGCAUGGUUCAAUAGUGAAAGACGGUUUUGCUGUCACUUAUAGAUGGAUCCGCGCCGCAUUAGCUAGUUGGUAAGGUAACGGCUUACCAAGGCAACGAUGCGUAGCCGACCUGAGAGGGUGAUCGGCCACACUGGAACUGAGACACGGUCCAGACUCCGACGGGAGGCAGCAGUAGGGAAUCUUCCGCAAUGGGCGAAAGCCUGACGGAGCAACGCCGCGUGAGUGAUGAAGGUCUUCGGAUCGUAAAACUCUGUUAUUAGGGAAGAACAAAUGUGUAAGUAACUAUGCACGUCUUGACGGUACCUAAUCAGAAAGCCACGGCUAACUACGUG